AAUGCGAUAAGUAAUGUGAAUUGCAGAAUUCAGUGAAUCAUCGAAUCUUUGAACGCACCUUGCGCUCCUUGGUAUUCCUUGGAGCAUGCCUGUUUGAGUAUCAUGAAAUCUUCAAAGUAAAUCUUUUGUUAACUCAAUUGGUUUCUACUUUGGUAUUGGAGGUCUUUGCAGCUUCACACCUGCUCCUCUUUGUUCAUUAGCUGGAUCUCAGUGUUAUGCUUGGUUCCACUCGGCGUGAUAAGUUAUCUAUCGCUGAGGACACUGUAAAAGGUGGCCAAGGUAAAUGCAGAUGAACCGCUUCUAGUAGUCCAUUGACUUGGACAAUACUUUUAUGAUCUGAUCUCAAAUCAGGUAGGACUACCCGCUGAACUUAAGC
rnacentral:misc_RNA from 1 species